ensembl:lncRNA
UUUAUGUUUUUUUUGAAUAUAUGUUUAACAUUUUAAAAUAAAUGAUUUUUUUUUUUUUUUUUUUUUUUUUUUUUAAAUAACAUACUUUUAACGAAAAAAAAAAAAAUAAAAUGAAUAAAAAAUCGAAGAAACAUACAAGUGUAUGGAUACAAAACAAAAUUGUAACAUACGGACACUUGUAUAUAUAAAAAAAUGCAGUAUACGGAUGCUUAAGCACAUAAAAAGUCUAACAUACAGACAUAAAUGAGGGGGGAGGGGGGAAAAAAUUACUCUUUUUUUUUUCAGCUUAAUUAUGUUCCAUUUCCUUUUUGAAAAAUGUAACUUCUUUUUAUUAAUUAUAUUUACUAAAAUUAAUUAUUUGAUAUUUGGUAUAUGAUUUUUUUUAUUUUUUAUUUUUAUGUUUUGUUCAAUAGUAAACGUAUAUGUAUAAGUACACGUAUACGUAUACGGAUAUAUUAACAUUCGAUGGCUUGUUUCAUUUUGUUACUUAAUUUUAUUUAAAUUUUUUUUUUUUUAUUUAUUUAUUUAUUUUUUUAUUUAUUUUUUUUUUUUGUUAAACGCUAUUAAAGCUAAAAAUGUACACACUUGUUUUCCCUUUUCUAAUAACAAUAUUGACACAUUAUUCAACUACCUAUUCAAUUUGAUUAAGUUCUUUUCUUUACACAUGUAUAUGUAUUUGUGUGUAUGUAUAUAUAUAUAUAUAUAUAUUUUUUUUUACGCUCUUAGAGCUAUUCUAAUGUAAAUAAAGUUGGCAUACAUCCAAAAAAAAAAAAAAAAAAAAAAAAAAAUGGACAGCAAUUCUAUUGUACAAAAAAGCAUAUUAAAAACUACAAAUGGUUAGUAUAGAAUAAAAAAAAAAAAAGGGAAAUAUGUACUAUGCUUCUAUUAUUAACAUUUUAACAUUUUAACAUUUUAACAUUUUAACAUAUAUGUACAUAUGUGCAACUAUACCUAACAAGAGUCACAAUUAUUAUUUUUUUUUUUUUUUUUACCUUUUUAUAGAUAAACAAGAUGGUAAAUCAUCAAGUAGUUAUACAAAAAACUUUUAUAAAAGUUUAAAUAACUACGUACGAGAAUUUGAUAGUAUUGAAAAAAAAGAAAAUAAGAAUGAUGAAUUAAUUAAUGAAGUGUACGACAAACAGAACACACCAACAGUUCAACUAUUUAAUACAAGUUCUAAAGGUGGAAAUCGUUCAAGAUUGUUCGACAACCAGUGGAAAAAGUACAAUUAUAAUUAUAAAAAUGGAAACGAAAGAAUAAACUAUGAUUAUAUAAAUGCCACCAAUGAAUACUAUAAACCAACAAACGUUGAAGAGAAAGUAACAAACACAGGAAUAACUAAUAAAACCUUUUUUUCAGAUAAUAAUGUGUUGCAAUAUGAAGAUAGCAUGAAAAAAUGGUCCGAUAAAAGUAGAUACCUAUACUUCGUUGAAAAACAAAAAGAGGAGCGCGGUAGCAAGAAAGUUAGUAAAUUUAAAAAUAUAAAUUUGAAUAAUGCCCUUAUAAAAGAUAAAUACUUACAAGCCUCUUAUAAACAUGACCCUACUAGUGAACAAACAAAAAUUGAAAAUUUAGUUUUAGAUGUCUUAAAUAACAAUUUUGAUGAUGAUAUAGAAUCUAUCAAAGGUGAAAGGUGAAUAUAUUGGUUUUUUUUUAUGUGGCGUCAAAAAGGGUGUUGUUUGAAUAAUAGUACAGUACGACAUGUUUACAUGUGCUUACCUAUUUUUUUUUUUUUUUUUUUUAUUUACGUAGAACCCUAACCGAAGAUCGCCUAGAGACAUCUGGUGUUGUAAUAAUAAAAAAAUAAAUAAAAAUGAUUAAAAAAAAAAA